rnacentral:rRNA from 1 species
GACGAACGCUGGCGGCAUGCCUAACACAUGCAAGUCGAGCGAGUGGAGUUCUUCGGAACAAAGCUAGCGGCGGACGGGUGAGUAACACGUGGGCAACCUGCCUCAUAGAGGGGAAUAGCCUCCCGAAAGGGAGAUUAAUACCGCAUAAGAUUGUAGCUUCGCAUGAAGUAGCAAUUAAAGGAGCAAUCCGCUAUGAGAUGGGCCCGCGGCGCAUUAGCUAGUUGGUGAGGUAACGGCCCACCAAGGCGACGAUGCGUAGCCGACCGGAGAGGGUGAUGGGCCACAUUGGGACGGAACCACGGCCCAGACUCCUACGGGAGGCAGCAGUGGGGAAUAUGGCACAAUGGGGGAAACCCUGAUGCAGCAAUGCCGCGUGAGUGAUGAAGGCCUUAGGGUUGUAAAGCUCUUUCAGCGGGGAAGAUAAUGACGGUACCAGCAGAAGAAGCCCCGGCUAACUUCGUGCCAGCCGCCGCCGUAACAC